GGAGUGUUGGCCGCGGGGGUUCAGGCGCUCCCCUGCUAAGGGAGUAUGGGGUUAAUAGCUCCAUCGAGGGUUCGAAUCCCUCUCUCUCCGCCA
rnacentral:tRNA from 1 species